rnacentral:rRNA from 1 species
GAUGAACGCUGGCGGCGUGCCUAAUACAUGCAAGUCGAGCGAACAGACGAGGAGCUUGCUCCUCUGACGUUAGCGGCGGACGGGUGAGUAACACGUGGAUAACCUACCUAUAAGACUGGGAUAACUUCGGGAAACCGGAGCUAAUACCGGAUAAUAUAUUGAACCGCAUGGUUCAAUAGUGAAAGACGGUUUUGCUGUCACUUAUAGAUGGAUCCGCGCCGCAUUAGCUAGUUGGUAAGGUAACGGCUUACCAAGGCAACGAUGCGUAGCCGACCUGAGAGCGGGAUCGGCCACACCGAAGCUGAGACACGGUCCAGACUCCUACGGGAGGCAGCAGUAGGGAAGCUUCCGCAAUGGGCGAAAGCAUGACGGAGCAACGCCGCGUGAGUGAUGAAGGUCUUCGGAUCGUAAAACUCUGUUAUUAGGGAAGAACAAAUGUGUAAGUAACUAUGCACGUCUUGACGGUACCUACUCAGAAAGCCACGGCUAACUACGU